UACGUAGGGGGGCAAGCGUUUGUCCGGAUUUAUUGGGCGUAAAGAGCGUGUAGGCGGUUUGGUAGGUCCGCUGUGAAAACUCGAGGCUCAACCUCGAGCGCCGGUGGAAACCAUCAGACUAGAGUCCGGGAGAGGAGAGUGGAAUUCCUGGUGUAGCGGUGAAAUGCGCAGAUAUCAGGAAGAACACCCGUGGCGAAAGCGGCUCUCUGGAACGGUACUGACGGCUGAGACGCGAAAGCGUGGGGAGCGAACAGG
rnacentral:rRNA from 1 species